UGGUUCUGGCAUCGAUGAAGAACGCAGCGAAAUGCGAUAAGUAAUGUGAAUUGCAGAAUUCAGUGAAUCAUCAAAUCUUUGAACGCACAUUGCGCCCUCUAGUAUUCUGGGGGGCAUGCCUGUUCGAGCGUCAUUACAACCCUCAAGCUCUGCUUGGUAUUGGACCCCGCCCUUAAGGGCGUGUCUCAAAAUCAGUGGCGAUGCCAUCUGGCUCUAAGCGUAGUAGUUUUCUCGCUUCUGGGUCUAGUUUGGUAACUGCUAAAACCCCCAAUUUUUUAAAGGUUGACCUCGGAUCAGGUAGGGAUACCCGCUGA
rnacentral:misc_RNA from 1 species